GUGCUUGCUUUGGCAGCACAUAUACUAAAAUUGCAACGAUACAGAGAAGAUUAGCACAGCCCCUGCACAAGGAUGACACGCAAAUUCGUGAAGCAUUCCAUAUUUUU
rnacentral:snRNA from 1 species